AGCUGAUCCCAGUGCACUGGUGUUUGCAAUUAACUGAUCACAGCUAAUUAUAGAUUUCUUUGUUCCUUCACUCCCACUGCUUUACUCGACUAGCCUAAA
rnacentral:Y_RNA from 1 species